UACGUAGGGGGCAAGCGUUGUCCGGAUUCAUUGGGCGUAAAGAGCGUGUAGGCGGCCAGGUAGGUCGGUUGUGAAAACUGGAGGCUCAACCUUCAGAGGUCGACCGAAACCAUCUGGCUAGAGUCCGGGAGAGGAGAGUGGAAUUCCUGGUGUAGCGGUGAAAUGCGCAGAUAUCAGGAAGAACACCCGUGGCGAAGGCGGUUCUCUGGGGACGGUACUGACGCUGAGACGCGAAAGCGUGGGGAGCGAACAGG
rnacentral:rRNA from 1 species